rnacentral:rRNA from 1 species
GACGAUCGCUGGCGGCGUGCUUAACACAUGCAAGUCGAACGGAAAGGCCCUGCUUUUGUGGGGUGCUCGAGUGGCGAACGGGUGAGUAACACGUGAGUAACCUGCCCUUGACUUUGGGAUAACUUCAGGAAACUGGGGCUAAUACCGGAUAGGAGCUCCUGCUGCAUGGUGGGGGUUGGAAAGUUUCGGCGGUUGGGGAUGGACUCGCGGCUUAUCAGCUUGUUGGUGGGGUAGUGGCUUACCAAGGCUUUGACGGGUAGCCGGCCUGAGAGGGUGACCGGCCACAUUGGGACUGAGAUACGGACCAGACUACUACGGGAGGCAGCAGUGGGGAAUAUUGCACAAUGGGCGGAAGCCUGAUGCAGCAACGCCGCGUGCGGGAUGACGGCCUUCGGGUUGUAAACCGCUUUCGCCUGUGACGCAGCGUGAGUGACGGUAAUGGGUAAAGAAGCACCGGCUAACUACGUG